rnacentral:lncRNA from 1 species
AAAACAUAUACAAAAUGGAGAUAGAAAUAUCCAAUCAUGGAUGUGGCUCCUGAGGUGGAGGAGGUGAUAUGCCCAGGUGAUGGUGGAUCUGAGAGAGCAUGGCGGAGUGCUGGUCCAGGAUAGCUGUAUGCUGAGCCUGAUGUGUCUGUAUGGUAUCCAUCUAUCGUCUGAUGGCCUGCAUCUCACGGACUAAGGUGGCCUGAGAGGCGCUCAAUGAGUGAAAGGACGACAUGAGAGCUCUGAACUCUGUAGCGGAGACAGUGAUGGAUGACCCGACUGAAGACUCAGCAUAGGCUGGAGCAGGAGUGACUGGUGGUGCGGGAGUAUCAGUAAUACAAGUCACUGGAGCAGGUACUGAAGAAGAAGGCUCUGUGGUAUGUGGGUCCUGCUCUGGUGAUGUCUGUACUGUAGGUGCUGAGGCUGCUGG